GUGGGGAGCCAGUUAUACAAAAAGGCAGCGUCCAGGCCUUACAGGGGCAUAAAGCGAGAGCCAUGCACUUGGGAACAAGCUGGAGGAGCGCUCCUUGCACUUGGGCAGCAGAGGAUUUUGUGCAGAGCAAAGGAGAUUUAGGUAGAGGGGCACUUACUAAUGGCAGCCAAGGGGAGCAAGCUUAGCCAAUCACAGCAGUUACAGAUAGAUUGUAAAUUACCAGGGCUCCUUGGGUCUCUUUUAACUGGAGCAUGUUCCAGGUCUCUAUUAGGUAAAUUUUAGAAUGCUCAAAAAAUGGAAAUGGAUAAAAAAAGAAUGGUGGUUUAUUCACAAACCAACAUCGCCUGACGCAUUUCGGGAGCAACUCCCUUAAUCAUAGGCCUAAUAAACCACCAUUCUUUUUCUUUAUCCGGAGCGCCCCCUUUUUUGAGCAUAUCUAACUACAGUGGGAACGCCGGUGGCAGAGCAUCCGGAAUACUAAAUGGAGCUGCACUAAGGAGAACACGCAGGGGGUGAGUUUGGAGCUGCCCAAUCCUCAUUACGUUCUAGAAAGACAGGGUAAGAUCUAUGACGGCGUCCAUCUGUCGGCCAAACAAACUCCACGUGAAACAAGACGGCCGUUAUUCAGGUUUGUACAAGAGGAAUGUGGAAGAACAAGAAGAGAGUAUGUCUCAGGGCCUUACAGGCUGCUAUGGCUGGUCAAACGGAACCAAGUCCGUCUUCCUUAGAGGUUUGGUCCCCUUCAACCAGCUAUUGCAGUACUGAGCCUCAACAGCCCCAAGCCUGGAUUCUGCUGCUGUGCAAGCAAAGGAGGAUCCGCAUGGGUGGAGCAAAGGAGAAUCCGCAUGGGUGGAGCAAAGGAGGAUCCGCAUGGGUGGAGCAGUAGCUCUAUGUUGUAGCCCUACCUCAGGGGGACAUUGAUUUAUCUUUCUAUGCUAUGUUUCUACCCAACCAGGAAUUCAUACCUCAAUCUUGCAGGCAGGGUAUUUUAAAGUAAUUUAGCUUGGGCUUGUCUGUUUUUAAAUCUUCCCAAGGGGUGUCACCCUCCUGGCUACUGAUCUGCUCUAAACAAUUCCGUAUUUUGUGCCCUCGAAAGCUGAAUAUUGCACCACAGCAAAACCCUAGGAAUUGCCCCCAUGACCAGUGCCAUAAUGAAUAAUUCUUCUGGAACUUCCCAUUAAAUCAAAAGAAAUACAAUUUAUGAUUUUUUUUCCUGCUUCUAUUACAGUUCCUGGGAUUUUCAGGCUGGGGAUGGUGGGAGUUGUAGUUCCCAACAGCAGGUCAAUAAACAAAAAACAAGUCUGCCAUGAGUUCUAGCUUUAUUAAAGUGGCACUCCUUCCAACAGAACUGCUCUUGGGCAAUUAUUGUAUUUGCAUGAUAUUACCCACAAUUUCUAGGUGCAAAAUUGGGAAUUCUGGUUGAUUUCGGGGGCUAAUGUCGGGUUUAUCCCGGUGGGGAAAGUAUGGGCACAUGCUUGAGAUGUUCAUUCAUAAAAUAAACAAAUGAAAAUGCU